rnacentral:rRNA from 1 species
UACAGAGGGUGCAAGCGUUAAUCGGAAUUACUGGGCGUAAAGCGCGCGUAGGUGGUUUGUUAAGUUAGAUGUGAAAGCCCCGAGCUCAACCUGGGAACUGCAUCCAAAACUGGCAAGCUAGAGUACAGUAGAGGGUGGUGGAAUUUCCUGUGUAGCGGUGAAAUGCGUAGAUAUAGGAAGGAACACCAGUGGCGAAGGCGACCACCUGGACUAAUACUGACACUGAGGUGCGAAAGCGUGGGGAGCAAACAGG